AUCAUACUCCCUCCGUCCCAAAAUAAGUGUCUUAACCUUAUUACAACUUUAUACUAAAGUUAGUACAAAGUUGAGACACUUAUUUUGGGACGGAGGGAGUAUAUU
rnacentral:pre_miRNA from 1 species